rnacentral:lncRNA from 1 species
GUGAAUGUGCUCAAGUAUCUUGAAUGUCUCAAAAGCCAGAACUUUAAUGACUAUAGAAGUUAUGGAGAUUUCUGCUUGAAUUACCUUGGUGUGUGGAGGCAAUACAAUAAUACGAAUAUCAUCUACCUUUUGUUGAACGGGGAUGCUGAGUGGGUGAGGGAUUUGGACAAUAGACAUGCUCUAAGGAGUGGGAAUUUGGCCUCUAUCAAUGUCCAUCAACUUGUCUCUGCCGGAAGGAAUUAUUGGAGUUCUGAGUUGUUUUCUGUUGGUAUGAAAGUCUUGGACAAUCUUGAAGCGCUGCAUAAGCAAUCAUCCGAGAAUUCACCGUCUGUGUGGUGCCAUGUACUAUGUCUUGCUUACAUCUACGAGGUUGCAAAAUUUCUUUUGAGUUCCAAUUAUUCGAGCCUCCAGUACCAUGCUAAGGUACUACAGAAAUUUAUUGACCAAUCAACUGAGCAUUUGUUUGACUUCAUUUUUCCUCUAGAAUGGCAAGAAUCUCUGAAUGAGAAUAUGAUUUCUCUGAAAGGAACUAAGUUGUAUAGGAAUAUCAUCAAAGAAGUUAUUUAUAAGCACAUUGGUUUGAAGGGCAAACUAUCAUAUGGGCAAAUUGGAAGUGCAGUGGUAAUGAUUCUUAGGACUGGCAAGCUAGGCAAAGAUGUAUAUGGGAGAGUUGCGAAACGAUUUGACGGAUAUACACCAUGGAAGGAAUUUGUCGAGAGUCUCUCUUUCAAUAUGGGACUAGAAUCUUAUCGAGGAUCUGUCUUGCAAAAUCAUGAUGAUAUGAAACAUGCGUCUCAUGUUUGGAAAUUCUAUAGAGCUUUGUGCGAUACUUAUGAAGCCAACUGGAGGAGAGUUGACUAUAUAACACCAGAUUGUUUCCUGUAUCUUAUUGAGCGCCUUUUGAUUUUGUUGUCUAGCCUCAAGGGAUGCAUUGUCACUACAAAGUCAUCCUUUGUUGAUUGGCUUAUCUACCAGGAAUGGAGCACCAACCCAACUUCCAGCUUAUUUACUGACCUUCAUCAAUCCUUUGGAGCUGUAUACGAAUUUAUUUUCAACAUCGUUCAGCAGUUCCUAUACAGUGAGAAGGAAACAAUGGAGUGGAUUAAGAAAUCUUGUACAGAAAUCAAGGACUACCAUUCAUUGGUGGUUUUGAGAUUGUUUGUGAUAGUAUGUUUGCUUCAUUUGAACUUUGGAAAUUCUUUAAAUUUACUUGUGGACUUGCUGGGUAGAAUCAAUAUAACCAAAAAGUUGCCAUGGGAAUUUUAUGAUGCCCUCCGCCGAAGACGAAAACGUGACAUUCGGAUUGUUAUUGCAGAAGCAUUUGAAAAGAUAGGCAAUCCUCUUGUGGUUGCAAGUUUGGGGGGAAAGUGUCCAGGAUUUGCAUGUCCAAAUGCAAUAGUGGUUGACAUGGAGAUCACCAGGUGUAAAGAGGACAUAUUAGGAAUAUUGUUUCCGGCAAUUGAAUCCUCUCAAGAUCAUGCUGGAGCUUCUUAAAUGGAAGCCAGUAAUUUACAAAGGGAAGUUUUGCCUCCAGCCUGUUGUGAACUAGGGAAGAGUUCUAGUGGUUCAACUUCAAAUUAUGCUUCCUUGCAGUAUCUUUAAAUAAAUAUGUUGAACGUUGUAGGUUUUUAUGAAAAAACACUGAACUUUUCUUAUUAUUUUGUUGUCCUUUUAAAGACCGUUUACAGGGAGGAUAUUUAUACCGUUUACAGGGAGGAUAUUUAUAGUGAUUUUAAAACACAUAACCCUACCAUAGUUUUAGGAAACAGAAUAAUAACAGAUCAGCUAAAUAUUCUAUUUCCUAAUUUAGCUUAUUCUAUUUAAAUUAAAUGCAAAAGAUCGACAUUAAAUCUUUGACACCCCCCUCAAGUUGGUGCUUAUAUAUUCAUCAUGCCCAACUUGCUUGUGAGAACGUUAGUUAUUUGUUGCGCUGAUGGAACGAAUGGCAUGCAGAUAAUGCCUCCUUCAAGUUUCUCUUUAAUAAAGUGGCAGUUGAUUUCAAUAUGUUUAAUUUUGUCAUGAUGCACUGGAUUGUGAGCUAUACUAAUCGCCGCCUUGUUAUCACAAUAAAGUCUCAUGGGAACUUCAAUUGGCCUCCUUAGCUCAUCUAAGACUUGCUUUAGCCAUAACAUUUCACACACACCAUGUGCCAUAGCUCGGUACUUGGCCUCUGCACUGCUACGGGCUACAACACUUUGUUUCUUGCUUUUCCAAGUAACUAAGUUACCCCAUACAAAGGUACAAUAAGCCGAAGUUGAUCUUAUAUCAGUAACUGAUCCUGUCCAGUCAGCAUCUGUGUAGGCUUCAAUGGUCCUCUGAACUCCUUUUUUAAAACACAAUCCUUUUCCUGGAGUACCCUUUAAGUACCUCAAAAUUCUAUAUACUGCCUCAAGGUGCCCUUCAUACGGAGAGUGCAUAAAUUGUCUCAUAACACUCACUAAGAAAGCUAUAUCAGGACGAGUAUGAGCCAAGUAAAUAAGCUUGCCCACUAACUUCUAAUAUCUAGCAGUAUCAAUUGGAGUUCCAUCUUUAAUUUCUACUAGCUUGUGAUUUGGGUCCAUAGGAGUAUCCGCAAGUCGGCAUCCACUCAUCCCUAUUUCUUUUAGAAGAUCCAAGAAAUACUUACGUUGGGACACAACUAAACCUUUCCUAGAUCGAGCUACCUCCAUUCCUAAGAAAUAUCGAAGUGUUCCCAAGUCUUUGAUUUCAAAGCUAAAAGCAAGACUCUUCUUCAACCGCUCCAUCUCUAUCAAGUCAUCCCCUGUGAGGAUGAUAUCAUCCACAUACACAAUAAGUACUGCUAUCUUCCCAUCUUUGGAGUGUCUAAAAACCAUGGUAUGAUCACUUUGAGCUUGAGCAUAACCCUGACCUUUGACUGACCGAGUAAAAUUUUCAAACCAAGCCCUAGGAGAUUGUUUGAGGCCAUAUAAUGAUUUCUUCAGCUUGCAAAUUCUAUACUGAAAUUUUCCUUCAAAUCCAGGGGGAGAGUCCAUGUACACUUCUUCCACUAGAUCAUCAUUCAGAAAUGCGUUCUUUACAACAAGUUGUUGUAGUGGCCAAUCAAGAUUUACUGCCAUUGAGAGAAGCACCCUGACAGUAUUUAAUUUUGCCACUGGAGUAAAGGUUUCAAGAUAGUCGAUGUCGUAGGUUUGAGUAAAUCUCUUAGCCACCAACCGAGCUUUGUACCGUUCUAGUGUCCCGUUGGAAUUAUACUUGAUGGUAAAGACCCAUUUACACCCUACUGUCUUUUUCCCCUUUGGUAAGUCUGUUACUUCCCAUAUUUGAUUCUUCUCAAGAGCCCGCAUCUCCUCUUCGAUAGCCUUUCUCCACUCUGGAACUCUUAAUGCUUCAUGUACAUUCUUUGGAAUUUCCACAGAAGAAAGUUGAGAAGUAAAUGCCAAAAAAUUGGGAGAUAAUUUAUCAUAAGAGACAUAGUUAGACAUGGGAUAUUUGGUACAAGAACGCACCCUUUUUCGUGAUGCAAUAGGAAGAUCAAAAUCAUCAAAAUUUGGAUUAGAUGAAUUUUUACCUGAAGACUCAAACACAACAGGUUCUACCCGCAGUUCAGAUUCUUGAUUGUGAAGAGAAAGGAGAACUAUAUCCUUUGCUCGAUAAUUUCUUCUGAUAUAGGUUUGCAGAGUUUUUUCAGUCACGUUCUUGUCUCUUUCACUAGGAGAAUUUGACUAUGUUAUUGGCACCAAAAAGCAAGGAAUCCAAAUUCUUGUUAUUCUCAAUAUUAAUUUGUUUUUCGAAUUCCUUUUGACUAGUAGAUUAGAUAGAGACAUGAUUUUCUGGAUUGUUAUUUUGGAAAGAUUAUUUUUUGAGGAAAAUUUGUUGUGAUUGAAAUCAGAUAUUUCUCCAUCUAAUCAAUGCCUCUAUCUACAAUCUUUUUAUCAGUCUUUUGAUCUGCAAUAUGGAAAACAUCAUCUUCUACUAGUUUUUCCUCAUGCCUUAUCCUCGGAAGAUGUUUUUCAAAAAAAGGUUUGUCUUAAAAAAAAUGUUACAUCCAUGGUUAUAAACAUUUUUUUGGACAUAGGAUCAAAACACUUAUAUUCUUUUUUAGUGGGUGCAUAUCCAACAAAAAUACAUUUUCUUGCUCGAGGAUCUAACUUACCCUGACCGCGUUCAUGAUUAUGUACAAAAGCAAUGCACCCAAAAUUUUUUAAUGCAAUUCUUGAUAUUAAUCGAGAAUUAGGAUAAAGUGUUUUGAAGAAAUCCAUAAGAGUUUGAAAAUUCAAAACUCUUGAGGGCAUUCUAUUUAUAAGGUAAGUAGCAGUUAAAAUUACUUCACCCCAUAGAUAUUUAGGAACAUUUUUUUGAAAAAAGUAACGCCCUUGCCACUUCCAGAAGAUGUUUGUUCUUUCUUUCAGCUACCCCGUUUUGUUGAGGGGUAUCAUUACAAGAACUUUGAUGCACAAUUCCCUUUUCAAGAAAAACUUUUCCCAAAAUUUUAUUAAAAAAUUCUUUUCCAUUGUCACUUCGAAUGAUUUUAAUUUUUUCUUAAAAUUGUGUUAGAACCAUGGUGUAAUUAUUUUAAAAAAUAUUUUCAACCUCUGAUUUUUCUUUUAACAAAUAAACCCAACAAACUCUAGUGUGAUCGUCAAUGAAGGUACCAAACCAGCUUUUUCCUGACAAAGUAGGAAUUUUAUUUGGUCCCCAUACAUCAGUAUGUAAUAGUAAAAAUGGUUUUGGGGGGUUGAUAAGGCUGUAUAGAAAAUGUAGAUCGACGAUGUUUAGCUAAUUGACAGAUUUCACAUUGAAAAAGAGAUUGAUCUUUAUUAUUAAACAAGUUUGGCAAUAGAUAUCUUAAAUAAUGAAAAUUAGGAUGACCUAGUCUAAAGUGCCAUAACAUAAUCUUUUUAUCUUUAGUAAUUGAGACCGAAUUGUAACAUGUAUUUUGAAUUGGCCUUAUCAUACUUGAUCCGUCUUCAAAGAAGUAAAGUCCUCCACUUUCUCUAGCAUAUCCAAUCAUCCUCCCCGUGGUCAGUUUCUAAAACUCACAGAAAGAAGAGAAAAAAUUAACUCGACACUUAAGAUCACUAGUUAUUUUACUUAUAGACAGUAAAUUGCAAGAUAAGUUUGGAACGUGAAGAACUUUAUGGAGUGUUAAAGUAGGAGAAAUAACAAUAAAACCUAUGCCAACUAUUAUGGAUAAUGAUCCAUCGGCAAUCUUGAUCUUUUUAUUGCCUGCACAUGGACUAUAAGACGAGAAUAAUUGUGAUGAGCCAGUCAUGUGGUCAGUGGCCCUGAAAUCAAUAAUCCAUGAACAAGAUGGAUUUGAUGUUUUACAUGAUUCAUGAAAGAGCAGUAGUAAGAAGAUUACCAUUUUGAGCAAAGGAACAAGAAAGAAUUACUGAGAACUGUGGAGACUUAAAAAGUUUGUACAAUUGGCUUAAUUGUUCCUUUGUGAAGGCCGGUGUCUAAGAGUCGAUUGAUUGCUUUUGAGAGUCCUCGCUCACAGUCUGCAAUGCCCUGCUAUCAGCCCCAUUUUUCUUCUUGAAAUUCGGUGGUUUUCCAUGUAAUUUCCAGCACGUAUCCUUGGUGUGCCACAACUUCUUACAGUGUUUACACCAGGACUUUUUUCGUCUCUCUCCAUCUGAUUCUGUCUUAGAAACCAAUGCUGAACUUUCAGCUUCGGGUUCUGUCUUGGACUCAACUUUCUGUAGCAUCACUUUACGCCUCGUUUCUUCCCUAUGAACUUCUCAAAAAACUUCACGAAUUGAGGGAAGAGGCUUCUUGCCCAAAAUACGUCCUCGCACUUCAUCCAAUUCUUGAUUGAGUUCAGCGAGAAAGACUUAGACCCUAUUGUUCUCCUCUUUCUUUUUGUGUCGAACACUGACUGUAAGGCAAUCCCAUUCAUCCUCGUAACAAAGAUCUAACUCCUACCAUAAAGUUACAAUCUCAUUAUAGUAGGUAGUCACAUCUCUAUCUCCCUGCCUUGAUUUCCACAAUUUCGUCUUAAGUUCGAAAAUUUGAGAAAAGUUCUCUACAUCAGGAUGCAUAUCCUGAAUAGCAUCCCAUACAUCUUUGGCUGUGGGCAAAAACAAAUGUGGUUUUCCAAUCGCUGGUUCCAUGGAGUUUAUCAGUCAAGCAAUCACUAGAGAAUUCUCUGAACGCCAUCUCUUCAAAUUAGGAUCUCCAGCGGCUGGCUGCUUCACUUCUCCUAUAAGGUGGCCGAGUUUACCCCUGCCAUCGAUGACAAGCUUUACGAACUGAGCCCAUUCCAAAUAAUUGGAACCAUUCAAUUUAUGAACGGUUAACUGUAGGGAAAGAUUCGAAGCAAAGGAAUCUGUAUUGGCUGUAGAAUUCGCAGAUUGGGACUUGAAUUGGGUAACUUUUAAAGAAAAAGAAGGAUCUCCACUUGUGUGGGUAGUAGAUUCCUUGGAUCCAGUCAUGACAGCACGGUAAUUCAUGAUCUGGAUUUGGUAAAGAGCCAAGGCUCUGAUACCAUCUAGGUUUUUAUGAAAAAACACUGAACUUUUCUUAUUAUUUUAUUGUCCUUUUAAAAACCGUUAUAGGGAGGAUAUUUAUAGUGAUUCUAAAACACAUAACCCUACCAUAGUUUUAAGAAACAGAAAUAAUAACAGAUCAGCUAAAUAUUCUACUUCCUAAUUUAGCUUAUUCUAUUUAAAUUAAAUGAAAAAGAUCUUCCUCAAUUAUAAGCAUCAAAUCUUCGACAAACGUAAAAGCGGAUGAUCUGUUGAUGAACCUUGAACAAUUCUGGAAAGUAUUUGAAGCAAUAGACUUUGGAGACUAUGGUAUAGGUCCAAAAAGAAUUUUGUUCUAAUGGUCGACUAUUAAGGUAAUGCCAAAUUGUUUCACACAGUCAGUUACUUCAGUCUGAGGCAGGUGAUAAACUGCUGUUUGUUGAAUAUUCUCUUAUGUAUCUUUUAGGAGGAUGUGGAGAAAAGUAUUCAAAUUUUUAUCUGCUACAAUCGAUGGAUGCUUUCAAAAAUACUCUUUUCAUGGUGAAGACCAAAGCCGAUGGGAUGAAGCAACAAGCAUGUUUGAAGAUCUAAAACAACUUGAUGGAGCACUUGAUGGUGUGAUGAGGUCAGUUUAAAAUGGAAGAUGAUUUGCACAGUUGACAAUAGCAUAACAAAAUCAAACAUUUUUUUUCUUCUUUCAAGAUUGUUGGUGGCACCUUAUAUUAGUUCUUAUUUUAGAAGGCAACUGGAAUCUACAUUUGUUUAGUCAUGAUUGGUGUAUUUGGUUUUCGUUAUCACUUACUUUUGAACGUAUAGCUUCUUCAGUGAGUUGAAAUUCGAGCACAUGUCCGCGCUGGGAAAAUUCACAAUAGCUUAUUGCAGUCAAGCAGACCAAAACUGUAACAUUUCUCAAAUCAGCUACUGCAGCAAUACGCAAUUGUAAAGGCAAGUCAUCAGAGUCAGAGACUGUCAUUGCAUUAACUAGAUGUGGGGACAACAAUGCUGAUAAAUGUAGCAGGUCAGACGAGGGAAAGAUUAUAUCUACGUCGGCAACCUGGGCUUCUGAAGCUCAAGGCAGCAGUCAAAAACCUGAGAACAAGAGGGUAGGAACGAGCAAGUCCAAGAAAAACAAGAAUGGGAAAGGUGAUAUAGUAACUUAAGCUUUACCAUUAUGUUAUAAUUGUGCACUUGGUUGGCAAUAUGUCUAUUAAACGGAACCACCUCGUAUUACUUUCAUUAUUCUAUGGUGAUAAAUACUAAAAGUGAUAUUCUGUAUUUAGGACAGUGCUAACAUGUCUCCUGCUCCUCAAUAUUUAUAUGAGACAAACAAUGAUUAUAAGAUAUUAUCUUAUAAGUAUUCAACUUUUAACUGCUACAAUGGGUGGAUGCUUUCAGAACAACUCUUCUGACGAUGAUGAAGAUAAAAGCCGAAUGGAUAAAGCAGCCAAAAUGCUAGAAGAAUUCAAGUAACUUUAUGUUGUACUUGGGAAUUUGGCACAUUCAGGAUUGUUACAGAUUAUAAAUAAACUCUUGAUUUGAUAAAAGCUUGACACUUGUGAUUUAAUGUUUACAUUCCUUUAGAAUACCUUUGACUUAACAAUAACUUGAAAAGUGUGGUUAAUUCGCACUUUCCAGAACUGCAGAUAAAAUGUGAAAAAGUGGUAACAACUUCCAAUGCGUAUAAGGAAUAAAUAACAGCUUGAAAUGAAGUUAUUGUUAAUAUUCAUCUUUGUUUUCUUUUUGGACUAUACAUUUGACGUUCAGAUUGACUAUCUUAUUCCUGCAGGUAGGAUUUCUUUAGAAAGAUGUGAGGAGCCUGAGCUAGAAAAAUCAGGGGUAUGCUUUUUUUAUCUGGCAGGACAGUAUAAGUUACAUGCCAGGGGCAAUUUUUUAUCAGAAUGCUUGGAUGUUCGCUCUAAAGGAAAACCUUUUGACAUUGGUUUGAAAUGCAUUGACUGCUGGAAACAGCAUGUUGGUAUAGAUAUUGGUUCUGCUUAGAAGCAGCAAAAAAAAAAAAAAAAAAAAUGAACAAGACAUUCUACAGAAUUGUGCUCUUCAUUUUCAUAAGCUCAAUGGUAACUGUGGGAAAACACCUAACUGUGUUUUCCUAACUGUGUUUUACUGUAAAUAUUUGAUGCCUUAUAAAUAAAUAUACAUAGAUAUAAACAUAUACGUAUACGUAUAUAUAAUAAAGCAAAAUGCCAUAUAUAUAUAGUUUUCUAGUCUAAAAUUUUAAAGAGUGCAGAAAAAUUUUAAAACUGUAUGAUUUUAAAUGUUUAAAAUUCUGAAUUGAAACAUAUAUGUAUGUACGUAUGUAUGGAAAAGUGAUCACGGGUGCACGAUCAAGAUAUGGGAGAGGGAGCUGGGCUGUGGGGCUCACAGCUCCCUAGUUUGGAUCGUGCAUGACAGCAUGCACCUGAUAGCUUCUAUAUAUGUAUAUAGCUAGUCUUUGAUGUAUGCAAAAUUAUUAUAAAUGUGAAUUACUAUUGUUUCUUUGAACUCUAAAAUCAACAGGAAUAAUAACACCAAUUAGCAAACCCAACAGCAAUGGAUAAUAACUUGAGUUUAGCAUCCUUAUUAAUUAAUUCAGAGUUGAACCCACCAACAUGUAACUUACAAACAUAAAUCAGAAAGUUGCAUAUCAUAACCUAUAGUUGUUACCCAGUAAGCGAACAUAAAUUUGUCAAAGCAUACAAAGUAUGGUCAAGACUAAAUUUCGCGUCUCAAAAAAAGGUUUUUUUGGUGUUAAAAAGACAAAUAAGGUAGUUCGAUCUUCAUGACACAAUGACACGAUGGUGAGAUUGCACUCCCAAGCAUAACAACUUAGAACUGCAAAAAUAAAUUGAAGAUGAAAUAUGAGAUAGAAGCAGAAGGCAAUAAUUAGAACAAUUGGAUUGUUCUCUUCUCUUUUUAUUAUUGUAGUAGGCAUCAAUAAUGAUUUUGUACGUCUCUCAUUUAUGGAGAAACUCUCUAUAGACGUCUUCCUAAUUCAAUUGAAUUGGUCACCCACCUUCCUUAUUUAACUUGGAUUAGUCAUCCAUAUAUCUCAUAAUUUAGUUCAACUUGAAUAAAGUAAAUCACAUGUAAAAUUGACUUAUUCAACUGUAAUUUGUAGUUAAAUCAAACAUAUGACUAAUUUCAAAUCGAAUAUAAAAAUAAGUACGUGCUCUCACUUCUCUCCAAUGUGGGAUAUUAGUAUUUUGAAAUAUCCAUAUAAUUCUAAUAAAAAAAGUCUUUUGAUAAGUAUUUGUCACGUGUGCCGGGCCGGACUUAAGCAAAAAAAAUUAGGCACGGCACCGCACUGCACGAAAUACAUAGUGGGCACGGCACGACACGAACACGAGCACGCGUAAACUUUCUUUUAAUGGGUCUGGGCUGGCACGGCAUGGCCCAUUGGCCACCUCUAGUAAUAUGUUUACCGUAUACUCCCACUAAACACUCCCAUCAUCAUUAUUAUUAUUAUUAUUAUUUUGAUUUAAAGAAUGCUAUUGGGAAAUGCGUGGGAAAGCAUUUAACGAACUUUUUUGCCAUUUAGUGCAAUCCAGAUAUGCCCAAUUAACACUCUCUCAAAUGGGAGGAUUUGAGAUCGUCGAACGGUAGAAUUGCAAGGAAUUGUUUUUUUAAUAUCUUUGUAAGAAGAUCGUGUGCCUGCCCCACAAAAUUGAAGCAGCUUUUCUUUAUAAGAAAAUUGCUAAUUUGCUUGCGUCCACAAAAUUAUUAAAGAACUUAAAAGAACAUAACAAUGAAAUGUAUGCAUGCUUCUUACGAUAUGACAUUUUACCGAAAAGGACACACACCAUUUUGGAAGUUGUUAUACAAUUUGUUUUCUGUCUCUAGAAGUUAAUGAGUAGAGAAAGAGAUGAAGGUGGCAGCACUGCGAAGGUCAAUAAAAACAACAUUAUUAAUGGGUCAUUUCGUUCUAUUUUUCAUGGAAGCGGACCGUGUGGAUAUGUUUCUACUGGUUUUGGGUUUCAUUCGAGCCAUGAGUGAUGGGUUAUUAACACCUUUAAUGACAUUUCUGACAGUAGAUUGAUGAAUACUGUUGGGAAUGCAUCAAGUCUCACUUCAGAUAGUUAACUAAUAAACUACUAUUUAAUUCUCUCAUCUUUCUUUCUUGAUGCACACGUUUCAUUCAUUAGAAUAAACUUAAUUAUUGUAUAUAUAUUAAGAAAAAGAGUAAAAUUUACUGUACCCCCUACUAGAGUGACUAUCUUCAAAAUACCCCCCAAUUUCCGUGACUUUAAACGGUUGACUGACGUUGAAUGAUUAAAUUACAUGAUUAUCCUUGUGUGAAACAGAAUAUUCUAUCUAACAAUAUUAUUGGGUGCGGUUUUGAUGUGACAUUUCUGUCAAAAAACGUGAUAGUGUUAAAGUUUUAAAUUGAUUAAUAUUAAAAUGUAUAUUUACUUGUUUGGUCAAAAAGUUUUAAAUUGAUUCCUUUUUUGAUUGAAGAAAAUUACAAGGCAUUGAAGAAAAUUACAAGGCAUGCCAUUAAAUAACACUUGUUUACAUGGAUUUGCACUGUGAUUUCAACCACUCAUUUUGAAAGUAAAAAAAAAAAAUCAUCCUUUUCUCCCUUUGACUACAAUAAUUCGAAUUCAAAAAUCAAACUGACCAUUAAUUUACAGAUUUGAACAAGCUUCGUACUAGCAAAAAGCUCAAACAGGACAUCACAAAAAAUAAAAAAAUAACAGUAAGUAUGUCGUCUUCAAGAGGAAGCUGGUUUGAUGUAGAGGAUGAAGAUGAAGAUGAAGAUGAAGAUGAAAAUGAGAAGUUGGAGAUCAAUGGGAAGGUGCUCAAGUUUAGAAACAAAACAUGCAGAGAUUGUGGUAAACGUGCAUCUGCAUCUCAGAGUCUGCUGCAAAUCUUAAAAAGUUGUACUACAAAUGCGAUAAUAAAGGCUGUAAUUUUUUCAGAUGGUGGAAACCAAGUUUGUACGAGUAUAGAGUACUCAUAAGAAGAUUGGGAAAGUUGCAUGAAGGUUUCGAAAGUGAUGAUGAAAUUGGAAAUAAAGAUAAGAAGAUGCUAGAGAUGGGAAUUAAUAAACUUACUGCAAAAUCAGAUUCAAUCAUUAGGCUGUUGUAUAUUAUCUUGUUCUUGCUAGUACUUUGCAUGAUGUAUAUGCUUAGUGUUGCUCAUAACUAAAGUAUGAGGGUAGAAAGUAGAAAUUAAAAUAGUUGAAUGAAAAACUUCCAUGUACCAGAAGCUCAUGUAUUACAUUCAGUGAUAUGUACUUUCAGUUCAACAAAAUAUUACACUUAUGUUGUUGCAGUCAAUAUUCACCAUCACUAGCAGCAUAUUACAUUUUGCAUUUUCAGCUUCUAUGACAAGGGAUUACAUGCCAGACCAAAUAUUAACAACAACAACCCAAAGAAAUAGUAACUUAGCCUAACUAAUUAGAGAAAAUUAUAAAAUAUAAAAUUAACAAUUCCAAAAAAACAUGAGCACACAUAUUGCGUCUCAGUUUUUUAAAGUAUACAAUUAGGUUUUAAUUACAAAUAUAUACUGCAUUGCACUAUCGUAGCAUUGUGUUAAAAAAGCACAUCAAAAUAUCAAAAUCAGCAGCACCAUUUUCUGUAAAUGUCCAUACUGCUGCCAUCAUGCCAUUCACUAUAACAGUAUUUCUCUGCGACAUAAAGCCCCACUUAGUAGUUACCAUUUUUCUGAAACAAAAGAUUAAUUUUUGAAGAAAAAGAAAAAACAAUAUCUUAUAUAUAAAUAUAAACAUUAUUUUUUAAACAAAAAGAAAAAAACUUACAGCCAAUUUGAGCGGCUGCUUUGCCCUUCAAAUCUCUCUUUGCUUGAACUGGGCCAGAUUGUGGAGUGGUCCCACCAGAUUUGCUCCCAUCUCUAAUAUCAAUGCCUCUCGUUGGUGGCUCUGAAAAUUGAUCAAAAGCUGUGUUUGUUGUUGUUGAUGCAUUCCUUUGUCUCUCUUUUCCUCUGCUUAUUCCUGCUGCUUCCUUUGUUACUGUUGUCUUCUUUAUUACUGAACCCCUUGUUGAUUGUUCUGGGGUAGGCGUAGAAGUAUUAGGUGAUGGCUCAGCUGCUAACCCACCAGGUAUUGAGUCUCCAACAUCAUUCUCUCUUGUAAAUGAUGCUCCAGAACUUAAGGCUGCUACCAAGUUCUUGCGAUGCUUCUGUUCAGCACAGUUAAGUCAAGGUUAGUACACUUAAUCUUCACACAUUCAUAUUAGUCCCAACAUAUAGUCACAAAACUAUAAUUUACAUAAAAAAAAAAGUGAAAACAUCACUUAAGUCCCUUAUAUGGUCACUCUAGGUGGGGGUAAUUUGAAGAUAAUGUCAAAGUGAUGAAAAAAAAUUUGAAUAAUUAAUUUUUAAAUUGUAAGCAAUAAGCCACUGACCAAUAUAUGCAUGGUCUUCUUAUGUGCAUAGGCUAGAUCAACAAGGCAACCAUUUAUAUUGUGACCAAUACCCUGACAGUAUGAACAACUUACUGCGAACCUUCUUAUAUGUGCUGGUGGUUCAUCAGCCUCCCUUCUUCUACAUGUCUUAGGUCUGCCAGGUGGUCUUUGAAAAAUUGGGGGUAAAAGUUCAUCAGCUUCAACAUGUGGCCAUUUAGAUUUAUCCAGCAAUGGAUGAAUAAUGCCAGCAUAGCAUCUCAAAUAUGCAUCCUUUAGGAACAAGGGGCAACAUACUUCUCAUAAGUAGCCCUAAUGUGAGCUAUACAAGACAUUGCAUGCUUACAAGGUACGCCACAGAUCUUCCAUUGGCCACAACUACAUGUAUACUCACUUGCUGGUAUGACGUGAUAAUUCCUACCAACCUUCAGCAUGUUGUUCAGUUUCUUAUUAAUAAAAGCAGGAACAUCAAUUGGCCACUUUAAAUAACUUUGUCUUCUCUCAGUUAUUGCUUUCAUCAUGCGCUUCCUAAUGUGCUCCACCAAAGCUAUAACUAGUGCUUUCCUUAUAUCACCAAGCCAUUCAUUCCAACUCUCUGUCAUGUUGUUUGUUGUGUGAUCACACUUUACAAACUUAUCAAAGGCAUGCACUGACCAAUGCUUGGGAUUUAACUUUCUCAGCCACUGAAAUGCAUCUUCAUCAACUUUUUGUAUGCCAUUCAUUGCCUUGACAAAAACAUCUUUACUUGAUGCUCUAACUGCCUUCCAAAACUCAUCCCUCAACUCCACUUUCGGGAAUCUUGUCUUUAGGUUUGCAGAUACAUGUCUUGCACAUAACUUAUUUUCUACUCCAACGAACUCCAAAUGAAGUGCAUUAAGUACUCCCUUUUGCCUGUCAGUCAUGAAUGUCACCUACUUGUCAUCAGCUAAAUACUCUUGCAGGUGGUCCAAAAAUGAAGUCCAUCUAUCAAUAUUCUCAUAUUCACAAACACAAAUUGCAAUGGGAAAUAUGCAUUGAUUUGCAUCCAAACAUACUGCUGAUAGCAGCACACCUUCAAAUGGCCCUUUCAAGUGACAACCAUCAAGCCCUAUGUAUGGUCUAUAGCCCUCCUUGAACCCAUCUCUAAGGCCUAGGAAGCUCACCAUAAACCUUUGAAACCUGCACUUAUCAGCAGGUGUGUCCUACUUUGUCACCUUCAACAAGGCCAAUGCCCUAGGCAUUUGCUGUUUGAUGACAUUUACAUAAUCCCACAAUGAUUUGAAGCUCUCAACAUGGUCACAACUAGCAGCUAAUUUUAAAAUUCUUCUAUUUGCUCUAUAAACCUUUUGUUGAGCAACGGUCACCCCAUGCAUUUUUUUUCAGAUAAUCUACAAGUGUGUCAACACCUAUCCUUGGAUCAACAAGCACUCUAUAGCGGUACUUUCUGGUUAUCCAAGCUUCAAUUACCUCAGGAUUGUUAUCAAGGCCUUCACAAGUGAGUAUAUUGUGCAAAGUCCGAAUCUGAAAGAAUUUGCCCCAGUUUUGAAGUGCAGCAUAUACUCUAAAUGGGCAUUUGUCUGCAUAGCAGCCACACAAAAUCCUUUUUCUCUCGAACUUGAUCCUUCUACCCUUGAAAUUGUGUUGAAUACAGUAAUCCUUCAAAGCCCAUGCAAAUUCUCUGAAAUUCUUUAACACCGUUCUCUCUCUAAAUUCUAUUGGUUAUGUACCCUCCCUGAACAUUUGCUCACCCAAUGCAUGAGACAUCUUGCUAAAUGGAUGCUCAUCUUUUGAGUAUGAAAGUGGACCAUAGUCACCAUUGUCACUUUCAUAUCCAUCAAGUAAGUCAUCAUCUUCUUCGUUUUGAACUUCGUCUUCAGGCUGACUCUUAGAUGCUCUUGUGGCUCCACACAUGUCAUCUUCUGAUUCAGACCACAUGUGGAAGUCCAUUUUCUCAGCUGGUAGUAUCUCAUCAUCUUCGCCUGCAUGUCUUGUUGGGCCAACACCAUCAUUCAGGCUCCUUGAUUUACUUUUUUAAGUUGCCUUGGGCCUUUUCAUGACUUGCUCAGAAUAAAAAAAAGUUAGUCUUUCUCUUAUUCUUUACAGUUUGCUUAUCAGGCUUAACUGCUUCAACAUGUGGGCUCCUCUGAUUUGCAAUCCUUUAAGAAGCUCUAAUUUGGACAGCAACAACCUUUCUCUUGUUAGCUUGUCUAUGUCAAUGGGUGAUAGUAAUGGGUGACUUGCUGAUAGUUUUCUCAUUUCUUUUACAAGGUUGAGUUUGCACAAUCUCUGAUGGUAAAUCAUCAGUACGUACUGUAUCUUCUGCAUGAUUAGUUGGUUUCUCUGUUUAAGAAUGUGUAGCUGUUGAUUUUGUAGAUGUAUGAGAUGCAUUUUUCUUUAAGGAUUCGGACAAUGGUGGAACAACAUCCUCAAAUAUAUCUUCUUCAGCUUUGCCUGCAAAGUCAUCCACGCCUUCAUCAACAACAUGAAAAUCAUAUAAGUGAUUACUAUGCUGUGAAAGGUGUACAAAGUCAGUCUUGCCCUCAUCAGCACCCUUUUCUGAACCACUAUCACCUGAAGGAUGGUUAAAUGUAGGCAUUGAUAAUGGGUUUUUGUCAAACUGAGGUGGUACUAUUGUCGCUGGUCUUGGGAAUGGGGUUUGAUCAAACUGUGGUGGUACUUUUGGUGUGAUUUGCGUUGCAAGCUCAGGUUCUGCUGGAGUAGUGGAUCUUGGUGUGGUUUGUGUUGCGAGCUCAGAUUCUGCUGCAAUGGUCGGUUCUGUUGUGGUUUGUGUUUCAACAUUGUCAGCUUGUGUUUCAACUUCAAAUUCAGUUAUGGUUUUUGUUUGCACUGUAUCUUCUACUGUAGUGGUGGGUUCUUGUGUGGUUUGUGUUGCGAUCUCAGGUUCUACUGCAGUGGUAGGUUCAGGUGUGGUUUGUGUUGCAAGCUCAGGUUCUACUGCAGUGGUGGGUUCAGUUAUGGUUUGUGUUUCAGGAUUGUCAGCUUCUGCUUCAACUUCAAAUUCAGUUGUGGUUUGUGUUUGCACUGUAUCUUCUGUUGUAAUUGUGGUCUCAGGUGUAGACUCUAGUUCUGAAAUAAAGACCCUACAAAAUUUGGUCUCUGAAAUUUUUCUUGAACUUUUUUUUGCCAUUGAUUUUCUUUUACCACCUCUUUUUCUAGUAGCAAUUGCAUGUACCUGUUGUAGUGUUUCAACAUUGUCAGUUAGUUGCCUCUGAAACACAGACAACACACUCUGAGGUUCAGCAUAAGGCCCGCAGCAACAUCUUCUAUAUCAUCCUCAAACAACCUCUUUUUAAUUACAUUCGUCACAUUAAGUGGUAUGAUGGUCAUGUCAAACGCAAUCUCUGUAAACUUCUUCUUAUUGCACAACUGUCAUAUCUGAUACAACUCAUGAUCAUUUCUAUUGUACUCUUCUUCCCGUUCCAUGGCAGUGUAACUUCAAUGAUGAAUCUCUCAUCACUAUAACUGUUUCUCCCAACCAUUCUUUUCUUUGCAACAUUGAUCAGAACAACUCUACUUAAAAAGUCAGGGUCAAUGAGGCCAACCUUAAAAGUUUCACCGAGAAAGCUGACAAUGUCUUUCACCCUCAACUACAAAUGCGAUAAUAAAAGCAUUACAAAUAUCAGAACCAGAGUAGGCAUUGUAGACAUGAUAUUUAAAAUUUAAGGCAAAACCAAAAUAUCCAUCAUCAAAACCUAAACAACCACUUUUUUUAAUCUCUAGUAGCAACUUAUUUGUAAAGGAAAUACUAUAAACUGUUAAUGGUACAAUGAAAAGAAAAUACCCCAAUUAACUAAGAACUAGGGUUUAAACCUAUUUAUCUUCAAAUAAUAGCAACAAUAGCACAAAAUUUUCAUAUAAACAGGUUAUUCUUCUAGUUAAUAUAUUCCUACAUUCCCUUGAAACUCUGCUAAACCCAUUUUAAUGGAAAUAACUGAAUGAAAAAAAUAAAUUCCUUACCUCUGCCAUCGUAAGGUUGUUAUUACCAGCAACCACUCUCCAAUGGUCACUUUGUUUUUGUUUUUCGAACAAAAAAUGUCUUCUUUAUGACCAAUAUUUUGAUGCUCUGUUUCAAAGUUUCUCUCUCUAAACUGUGAAAAAGAUGAUGAUUUGCGCCAAGAGCAAAGGACCCUCUGUUGUUUUUACAUUUAACCACUUAUAUAUUUUCUCAUUAAAUAUUUUGAAAAUAACUUAUUUUAUAUUACCCUAUAUAAAAUUAUAAAAUUUUAGGGAGUGGUUGAAAUGUUGCCUUGAUUUGACAUGUCACAAUUCUCUAGACUAACGCUCGUUACGGUGUUUGUUUCAAAUACAAUUUUACCCUUUAAGCUCGUUACUUUAACGGGAAGAUCACGACAAUUGGGGGGUAGAGUGAUGUUUUCGCAUCCUUCGGGGGUAUUUUGAAGAUAGUCACUUUAGUAGGAGACUACAGUGAAUUUUACCCUAAGAAAAAUGAUAUUUCACUAUCGACAAAAUACUAUCAUGAUAGAAACAAUGCACUUUAAUAUAAACAAUAUUGUCUUUUUAUAUGCUACUGUGAUAAUGUAGCAUGAAUAAUUUUUCAUUUCUAUCUUGAUGAUAUUCAAAUAUCAGUACUUAUAUAUUAAAAGGUAUAAUUAAUUAAUUUCUCUGGACAAUAGAAGGCAUUGAUAAUUUUGUACGUAGCUUGUCUGGGAUGGAUUGUUGCUUUCCUAGGAGGGUUUUAUAAUUUGUUGAUCUGAGUUAAAUUUGUUCAAGAUUUAUAAAAUAAUAAAUAAUCUUAGCUAAUUAUUCUUUUAAUUGUUUUUAGAGGGAUAUUUUUGGACGAGAACUAGCAACAAAUUUAAAAUGUGACAAGAUGUGACAAAUUUAAAAACAAGCAACAAGGAUGAGAGCUAUCUAUUUGAAAGCAAUCUCAAGGUAAGAUGUUGGACACUUUGAUUUAAAUGUGACAAGCACUGCACUGUAGAGAUUCUCAAGAAUAUCUAAACGAUACCCUUGUGAUUUAAGAUGUCAUCCUCAAAAGGUCUAAUAGUAACUAAUUUAAUACCAUUUGAUUGACUUUAAUUUUACAACAAAAUAAAGUGGUUAAUUGUUGGAUAAAUUUUACUGUACUCGCAAGCACACGAAUCUAUUAUAUUAUAUAUUUAUGGUGAUAAGUGUUGAUCCCAUGUGAAGGUAGAAUUAAUCACGUAUAAGGUUAAUUUUCUAAGUUCGUUUGUGAAUUGUUUGGAUGUGAUUUUUGAGUAGUACUAAAAAAAAUGACGAGAAUAAAUUAAAGAUAAAACAAUGCAAAUAGAGCAUUUGAGUCUUUGGAUUCACACACAAUAUUUCACCAUAGGCUUGAUUUUUCUUUUUAGUUCUAAUUAAUUUAUGAGGGAGGUACUUCCACUACUCAUAGUCCUCAUUCCAGUAAAUGUAGUAUCAAGCACUCAUUGUGCUAGGGCAAAAUAAUCUUAAGCUAAAUGUGGUGUCAAGUACAUGUUGUGACAGGUGAUAAUAAUCCUACUAUUGACAAUGUAGCAAGCUCGUCUACUAAAUAAUUUAGUUGUAUUCUCUGUCAAUGGGUCAAGAUGAACCUCUAAUAUUAGAAGAGAGUUUUUGCCUAAUAAAUAUAGCGUAAAGUAUUCAUCGUACCAAACAAUAAUGAUCUUACACUAAGGAGUCGGUAUACCGUGUAAAAUCUAGACAAGAUUAUUAUUGUCUAUCAAUUAUGAGUAAAAAAAAUUCACAUAUAUUAGAGAGAGAGAGAGAGUUAAUAAACUUACCAAAUUAAGUCUAUAGAUAAUGUUGAGGCUUCACUUUCAGCUUAAGUCUUAAACUAAAUUAGCCAAUUAUAUUGAACUAUGAGUAAAUUAUGGACAGAGAAUUACAUGAGAUGGAGUUCAAAUUUGGAUUCAGACCUGCCCAAUUAGGGGAUAACGAGUAAAUCAUGUCUAUUGGAUGAAAACAACUCGGAUACUCAUAAUUGCACCGCGUGGCAAGUUCUGAUUGGAUAGACCAUGUUAUCAAGGCUGUGAUUGAGUGACUUGCGUGUAAAAUACGAAAGAAUUUUCAGACUUGGAUGCUCAGAAUCAAGGAUCUUAAAUCAACUUUCCAUUAUUCACUAGUAUGAUGCUCCCACGCUACUACUCGUAGUAGCAAUUGCUUUCAAGGCCAAAUUUGUUAUUUACCAAACCAGCUAUAAUUAAUGCUUCAACAUGAGUUUAUAUGGGUCAUAUCAAUGCUUAGAUAAUCUUAUGCUAUUUGCCAAAUCCUUCUUAGUUGAAAGAAUUUUCUCUAGCCAAUCCUAGGGCGACAGUUGGAUGGAUCUAAGUCCUUCCAAAAUAAUUAUCAACUAUUUACAUUUGAAAAGAAAAAAAAAUAGAAUUUUUUUUAACUUUUACGUGAAUGAAAUAGGUUUUUAAAAAAAAUUAAGAAUAUCUCUUAAAAUUCCCCUAUUUCAUAUACUUAAUUAUUAUAAUUAUAUAUAGUCAUAAUAUCUUUCUAUAUCUUUUUGUUUAAUUAUAAAUUCUAUUUUUUAACAUUAAAAGAUGUUUUCUUAUUUUCUUUUUUCUUUGUAGUUAUUGUUUUGUAUUAUGUUGGGUCUGCCUACUGGCAUGUUUUUUAAGCACUUGGGCUGAGCUCAAGCUUUAACUAAAAACUCAGGCUUGGCUACAAGGGUUGGGAGAUACUUAACAAAUAAAAGAUAAAUUUUUUAUUUCAACAAAUUUUUUUUAAUAUUUAUUUAACUAGUCCAUAGCAUAUAUUGAAAGUUGUAAACCCUUUAAGCCCAAUUUUUAAAACCUAAUCUUAUAAAAAAUAAAAUUUUAUGAACUAUAAAUUUAUAAAACAUAAUGAAAAAAUAAAAAAAAUGUAAAACAUAACAUCUAGGCGCUUGGAUGAAUAAGCCAGCCAGGUUUGCCAUCCCAAAUUUAAAAAUAAUAUUAAUUAAUUAAUUAAUGAAUUUGUUAUCUUUUAGGUUUAGGUCGCAUGAUUGAAGGCUAGUGGGGACAUAUAUGUGAUCCCACAAAUGAGGUGAUUAUUGUUGUUGUUGUUGUUGUUAUUAUUAUUACUACUACUACUCGAACUCAUGCCCUCAACUUUAAAUUUAUCUAGUUACAAGUUCAUCUUUAAUGUAUGGGUUAUGAGAAUCCAAAAUCGAAAUCAUUGAUGUUGUGUACUUGUGAAAGUAGAAGGAGGAAUGAAAAUGAAAAUAGUGGGCCCAACAUUAAAUUGGAAAUAUAGAACAAUAAGAAUCAAUUUCUCACUCUUUGAACUUACCAUCUUACCCUAAUGCAAUUUCACUAUUUCAUUUUUGUCCUCAAUUAAAUCAUCAUCAUCAUCAUUACUUUUAUUAUUAUUUUUGUUGUUGUUACAAGAAUAAUAGUUAUUAUUAUUAACAGUAAUUUUUAAUAAUAAUAAUCACAAUGAUUAUAAAACAUGAUAGUAAAAAUGACAAUAAUUAAUUAAGGAUAUUUUAACAAAAAAUAAUUCAUUCUUAUUCAAAGAUAAAAUAAACACAUCAAUAAGAAUAUAACUCAUUUCAAUUCUUACAAUAAACAACUUGAUAUUGUAUGUGUUUAUGAUGAAUUAUAAUCAUUAAUAUUGAUGUUGGAAAUCAGAUUAUUGAUAUUAUUUACUUAUAAAAUGAAAAAGGAUAAUGAGAAUGAAAACAAUGGGAUCCACAUGUAUUGAUAUAGUUUCAUCAACAAUUUUGAUUGAUGUAGUUUUAUUUUAUCAUGUUAAAACCUAAUGAAAUGUUACCAAAAUGACUUGAAACUUUUAUAUCUGGUGCAUUUACAUGUCUAUUAACAUUUCAAAAAAUUUCAAUGUUCUGACUAGUAUCAAAUUUUGAAUAAAUUCUGAAACUUAGGUUUUCUUGUAAGAAUUUCAAUUUCUGCCACUUUGAUUUAAAUCAUAAAAAUAAUAGACAAAUUUAUCAUUGUAGUGUUUUUGAAACAUAAUUUCAAUAUGCUGUAAUAAUAAUUUUUCAUGGUUACUUUCUGGAGUGGGAGUGAGGAGUGCAGAUUCCUCCCACUCCAGUCACUAAAUUGGGGAGGGAUUGGGAAUCCCACUCCGUGGGUCCCACCCAUUUUUGGAGUGGGGAGUGGGAGUGGGAAUCCACUCCCACCUCUCCCUUUUCUACAUUUUUUUAAUUUAAUUCAAUUUAAUGUUUUAUAAUUAAUAAAAUAAAAUAAAAUAAAUAAUAUUAUAUUUAUUUGAAUAAUAUUAUUAUAUUUAACUAAAUAAUAAUUUGCAUUGAUUAAUUAAGAAUAUUAAUAAUUAUUAUAAAUUUACAAAUAUAAUAAAAUAAAUAUUUAUUCAUUAAAUAUGUUUUUUAUUAGCUUUGUAAUUAAAAAUUAUAAUUCUUUAAAUAAGGAUAAAAUUGUAAUUUGAAACUAUUUACUCCCAAUCUAAGAUAAAAUAAACACAUAAAUUGGAUUCUGAUUUCCUUUCCAUGCUUUCAUUCCAGUGUAAGUAAACAAUCUACUCUCACUCCCACUCCACACUCCCAAUCCUAGGAUUCCCACUCCUCAGGAUUCCCACUCCAAUUUAAAAAAUAAACGCCACCAAAGAAUUUGCAGAUACAAUAUUCGAGGGCAUGGUCAACAAAAGAAGAGGAAAGAAUAAAAGAGUUGUGGUGAUCAGAGGAGGCAUUAAUUGCUGGCCUCUCACUGUUAAGACUAUACAAGUGAUUUACUGCAAGAAUUUUGGUGGACUUUGGUUUUUGGUACAAGUACUUUGCUGCCGCUGGUUACUUAUAUAAUUAGGAUAUUUUAUAAAAUUUGGGAUUUAAGUAGUUUUGAAUACUUCAACAAUAUAGUUUGUUUGGUUAGAUGAAUAUUGUAGUUUGAAUACAUAUAUAUUUCAUUUUCUUAUUCAUUGGAUUUUUUUAUUAUAGGUAUUAUAUUUUAUAUUUGUUUUAGAAUAACAAAUUUUAUUUAUAACAUCAAGUUUGAAGAAUUUGAGCAUUUGUAUUGUUAUAAAUAUACUAAUUCAUAAUAAAUAAAUAUUAAUAAAACAAUAGUAAUAAUAAUAUUUUGAAAUAAAUUUCAUCAAAAAAUAUUAAUUUUCACGCCAAAGAUUUCAAACAUGGUGUGAAAAUUCAAAUAAUAUUGAAUUUCCUAUUAAAAUGCAGUGUGAGUGUGACAUAUAUAUGACUAUUAAAAACUGUCAUAAAUUCAUAAUGGAAAAAUUUUUAUUAUAAAUGAGGGACAUUGACAUAAACGACAAAUAGAUUGUCUGUCAUGUAUCCCCUUUAUGACAAUUAUUUCUCGUCAUCUAUUGUCUGUUUUCUAAUAGUGAAAAAUAAGAAUGAAAAAUGGGAACUUGAUUCUAUUGGGAAGAGAAUUGAAGUAGGUUGGGAAUCAAGUUCUUAUUUCUUGAACUCAACAUUUUAUCCCUACCUAAAAUUCAUAAUUCCAGUUUUGUCUCCAAUUAAAAUAUUAUUAUUUUAUUAUUUUAUUAUCAUCAUUAUUUUCAUUAUUCUUGUUAUUGUUGCUAAUAAUAAACAUGAUAAUAAAAAUAGUGAAAAUAAUAAGGAUAAUGAAAAUACAACUAAUAAUAAUAACAAUGACUAUGAAUGUGACGAGGAAGAAGAUAAUGAUGAUGAUAUUAUUAUUAUUAUUAGAAAUAAUUUUUUGAAUAAUAAUAAUCAUAAUAAUUAUAAAAAAAUAAUAAUAAAAUUGACAUUGAUUAACUAGGGAUAUUUAGUAAUUUGAAAUAAUUUAUUAUGAUUCUAAGAUAAAGUGAACACAUUUAUACGAAUACAUUCAUUUUAAUUAUAGUUCUAGAACUCAAAAGUAAAUAACUUAUUGUGAUCUAUCUUCCUCACUCAUAUUUCAAUCCAUUCUAAUUUCUGCUUAUUCUAAUUACUAAUCGGUAAACCCGCCGUUAAUAGCAUGGGGUUGAUUACGUACUCAUUUCUAAUUUCAUGUCGAUUUGCCUAUGGUAAUGAUCAAAACAGAUGGCUGGAAGGCACCCGUUAGCUAGCUGAUUGAUUUGAAGGGUUUUAGUUUCUUCGUGUUCACACAGGAUGGGAGUCUAAGGACUAAGCAUUUAAUGUUGCUUAACAAUGAAGUAACCAUUAAUUCGAAUUCUAUCCAUUGAAUAUAUUCUAUGGACUUAGUUGAGCGAAUGUGAAUAUGUUCUGCAUUUUAUGACUAGUCUAGUAAAAGAUAGUAAAGUUGUGAUUUGGAUGAGUUUUCGAUUUUUUUUUUUAAUUUUGUCUACCAAAAUAAUCAAUAAAUAAUGAAGAAUUAAAAGAUGAUAUAUAAUUAUCAUUGUUGACAAUAUGCUGUAUAUUUUUAAUUACAAAAUAUAAUGCUAUAGAUAUGCAACUAAAAAAAAAAUCUACUCCUACAUUGAUGAGUAAACUUUUUUUUUUUUAAUUUAAGGAGAAAUCUGCUGCAAUAUAGGGAGAAUAGACUGUCUCAUGCAUUGCGGGAGUGUGUGUCACCAUUAUGCUACGCUGGCCGGUGGUGAUAAAUUGAUAAUAUGUUGUCCCAUAGCUAAGAAUAGCUAGAAUCUCAAUUUGAAUCCCAACUAAUGUGACAUUCAUUUAUUAGAUGAUAUAAUAUUAACUUUAUUAGUUAUAAAGUCCUCUAUCCCAUAGAUGAGUAACACAUAUAGUUGGGAUAUGAAUUAAAAUAAAAAUAUUGGAGUCUCUAACACUGUUAUAAAGAUUAUGACAAGAUACUGCAAUCAUAAGUCAUGUAACAAAAUGAGAAAAGAAAAGUAAAAGAAAUAGGAGAGACAUCGGAGAGAAAGAAAAGAAAAAGGGUAAAGGUUAAAAAUCUAAGAUAUUAUUUUAUUAAUACUAUUAUAUUAUAAUAAUAAAAUUAAUAGGACUAAUAUGGAUUAAUUCUAUUAUGAAACAAUUCAAAUUUUUAUUCCCAUAUCAGAAUAUAUCUAUUGGUUAAUAUUAAGGCAGGAAUCGAAUAUGUACCCUAAAGAAUAUGUUUAGGUGAUAAGAAUCAGUUUACUUAAAUCUGUAGUGUACUUUGUUCUCCUCACUUACUUCCUGCCGUGCUUAUGAUAUUAUAUUUUAAAACUAAUUUUUUAAUAUUUUUAAAUUGUUUUAUUUAUUUUAAAGGGGUGUUGAAAUUUACUUUUAAGUGCAAAAUAACACUACCGAAACUAGAAAUAUUGCAGUGGUAACAAUGAUUUUAAUAUAUGGUAGCUUAGACCGUUGAUACCAAAACCCUCUUGUUAUAGUUCCAAACUCCGAAGCCUCUUGACCUUGACAUAUUCUAGUGGAAAUAAUAAUAAAAAACUAAAGUAGUAUUAAUUUUCCGAAUAAAGGUGAAAUAAAUUUUUUUAACCGAAAGUAAAGUAAUUAAAUAUAAAGAAAUAAAAUAGGAAGAACUCGGGUCAACCAUAUUUCCGUUCUAUUAGUCUUUUUUUUUUUUAUUUCUCUAGGUAGAUUUUAAAUUAUUCUUUUGUGAAUUGAACACCGCUAAUUUUUAAAAAUUUGAAAAUAUUCAUAUUUUUGUUCAAAAGAUUAAAAAAAUAAUAAGGAUAGGCUGAUUUUUUUUUUUUUUUUGCCUUCUUUAUAAAAAUGGAAGAUAAAUUAGUGUUUUUAAAAGUAAGAGAAUGAUUUAAAAAAAGUCAAUUCACAAGGGGUAAUUCAAAAAUAAUCCAAUUUCCUUUUAGUGGUUAAAUUAUCCAUACACCUUAAGUUACUUUAGCCUCAAGUAUAAUAAAGAAAGUGUCGUAGAACAUAAGACUCAACUCUUAGUUAGGACAACUCCUAAUAAUAUAAAAAAUAACGUGAAAACCGAAGAGAAAAUUACGUGUUUAUAAUUUAUUCAGAGUACUCUUUCAGUCAUUGGGUUUCACAAAUAAAUGUGAUUCUUGCAUGCCUUUCUCGUUUGGUAAUAGGCUUGGGAAAAUGAAGCAACAUUGUUGAAUUUUCACCUGCCAAAAUAAUACAUUGAUCAUAAUCUUCCUCAACACCAAGAAGCUACAUUUAUGUACUCAUUAUAUUCAAGAUGAACAAUGGAAACGAAUCACUUAAUUAAUUAAGCAAUGGAAAAUGGAGGGUUGUAUCCGUACGAACAUAGCUAUCCUCCAUUGAAAAAGUAUUACGUCCCUGCAUCUGCAUUAAUAAUGAUCGUUCUGAAGACAAACAAAAACAUAAGGUUAGAAUGUUAGUGGUACCCAUGCCUUAAUUAUACGUACGUUCAAAAUUUUGAAAUGAACACUGAGUUGUAUUAUGCAUAAUUUUUUUUUUAACUUUUUUUUCAGGAGUACAUUUAUAAUAAUAUUCGUUAAGAUUUAUAAUUACUUAUAUAUUCAUAGCAAGGUCCUUAUAUUUAAUAUAACUAGUAAUGACACCUUUCUUAAAAGUGUGCAAAGUUGAAAGCUCAAUUUGGAACCUUUUUUUUUUUUUAAUUCUUUUCUCAUCUGAUUCCUUCUAAGGAUUCCUCGCAAGAGCCAGCCAUUUUCUUUUGUACGGACACUUGCUUUCUUGUGAAGUAACUUCAUUUUGUUUUAACAUGUGGGGGUAUUUGUUUUUUCUUUUUAAAAAAGUUGCUUUGAGGAUGUUAAGAGUGAUUUUGAAGUGGGUUCUUGGCAUUGUGGCCGUUAUUUUGAUUAUACAGAGAGAGAAGAAAUAAUGAUGGAAGGUGAAGCUAAUAAUAGUAGGAGGAAGAAGAAGAGAGCAGUUCCCUAUGACUAUGGUUUCACUGAUACUGUUUUCUCUUGGUCUCAGGAGGACAUUUUUAAUGAAAAUCUAUUAGUGUUUUUAAAAGUAAGAGAAUGAUUUAAAAAAAGUCAAUUCACAAGGGGUAAUUCAAAAAUAAUCCAAUUUCCUUUUAGUGGUUAAAUUAUCCAUACACCUUAAGUUACUUUAGCCUCAAGUAUAAUAAAGAAAGUGUCGUAGAACAUAAGACUCAACUCUUAGUUAGGACAACUCCUAAUAAUAUAAAAAAUAACGUGAAAACCGAAGAGAAAAUUACGUGUUUAUAAUUUAUUCAGAGUACUCUUUCAGUCAUUGGGUUUCACAAAUAAAUGUGAUUCUUGCAUGCCUUUCUCGUUUGGUAAUAGGCUUGGGAAAAUGAAGCAACAUUGUUGAAUUUUCACCUGCCAAAAUAAUACAUUGAUCAUAAUCUUCCUCAACACCAAGAAGCUACAUUUAUGUACUCAUUAUAUUCAAGAUGAACAAUGGAAACGAAUCACUUAAUUAAUUAAGCAAUGGAAAAUGGAGGGUUGUAUCCGUACGAACAUAGCUAUCCUCCAUUGAAAAAGUAUUACGUCCCUGCAUCUGCAUUAAUAAUGAUCGUUCUGAAGACAAACAAAAACAUAAGGUUAGAAUGUUAGUGGUACCCAUGCCUUAAUUAUACGUACGUUCAAAAUUUUGAAAUGAACACUGAGUUGUAUUAUGCAUAAUUUUUUUUUUAACUUUUUUUUCAGGAGUACAUUUAUAAUAAUAUUCGUUAAGAUUUAUAAUUACUUAUAUAUUCAUAGCAAGGUCCUUAUAUUUAAUAUAACUAGUAAUGACACCUUUCUUAAAAGUGUGCAAAGUUGAAAGCUCAAUUUGGAACCUUUUUUUUUUUUUAAUUCUUUUCUCAUCUGAUUCCUUCUAAGGAUUCCUCGCAAGAGCCAGCCAUUUUCUUUUGUACGGACACUUGCUUUCUUGUGAAGUAACUUCAUUUUGUUUUAACAUGUGGGGGUAUUUGUUUUUUCUUUUUAAAAAAGUUGCUUUGAGGAUGUUAAGAGUGAUUUUGAAGUGGGUUCUUGGCAUUGUGGCCGUUAUUUUGAUUAUACAGAGAGAGAAGAAAUAAUGAUGGAAGGUGAAGCUAAUAAUAGUAGGAGGAAGAAGAAGAGAGCAGUUCCCUAUGACUAUGGUUUCACUGAUACUGUUUUCUCUUGGUCUCAGGAGGACAUUUUUAAUGAAAAUCUUUUUAAGGACAAGGUUUGCUUUUCUUCUCCAUUUUCAUCCUCAUUUUGCAGCCUUUUGAAUAAUUUUUUUUUUUGAAUAUAUAUUUCUUCGAGAUAUGAAGGUUUGGCCAUGCUAACUUACAUCCAUACAAAAAUGCUCUUUUGGAAUUGGGACUUGGAUUCUUUCUCAAUUUCACCAUUUGUUUUAUGAGACUGCAAAAUUAAAAAUAGAAUAAACCUUGACCUCAUGCUGUAACAGAUAAUAAAAUACAUGUGCUGUAAAAAUCCCUUAAAGUUUAAAGCAGUUUCUAAGAACUCUUUUCUAAUUGGUUAGUUUCUAGCAUUUCCCUUUUUGUGUUUGAAGUUUGUUUGAUAUUUUAAUUAGUAUGUCCAGCAUCUCUCCUUCAAUUAUAUAAAUUGAUGUUUGCCUAUAUGAAUGAUGUAUAUAUCAUUUUGGUUUUAAAGGAAGGCAGAAUUUACCUGUUAUCAAAAUUACUAUUCAAAAUCUAAGAAUGGAACUUAUAGCUGGUAAUGUGUUUGUUGAUGUUUAACAUCAAGUUUCUUGGGCUUAGCUAUUUCAGUUUUCAGUCACCUUCAGUGAUUGUGGCACGAAGAUUAUAGAUUGCUCAGGCAAAGUUCUAUGAGUCUCCUAAGUGACUAUUGCUCUACAUGAACAUUUACAUUACCAGUCCUCUUAUAUGCACGACUGUAAACAUUCAUGUGUGUUUUCUGCUUCUGCUUGUCCUGUUCUCCCCAUUAUAGAUAUUUCUGCUAGCUAAGUAUGUCUUAUUAUUUAAUUGUACGCUAAGUGCUACUUCAUUCCUUUCAGGUGAAACGAAUUCCGUUCUCGUUUCGGUCUGUCGGUCAGUAUUUUGAGUCAUUUGUCUUCCCCUUGUUGGAAGAAACACGAGCAAACCUGAUGUCAGGCAUGGAGAAAAUUUCAAAUGCACCUUUCGCUCAAGUGGUUGCUUUUGAGGAUUCCAAGCCCUAUGGAUCAAUGUUGUAUGAUGUUAAGGUUGAUUGCUGGAGAAAUAGAUUCAGUAAUCUUGGUAGAGAGCCUUACAAAACACUGCCAGGGGAUAUUUUGGUUCUUGCAGAUGCUAAGCCUGAAACUGCUUCUGAUCUGCAGAGAGUGGGAAGGAUGUGGACUUUUGUAUCAGUCGCAAAUGUAACAGAGGACGAGAAUGAAAUUGAUACUAGUUCCACUUAUUUUAAAGUCAAUGCCACUAAAGAAAUCCAAAUUGAUGUUUCACAGAAAUCUCUUUUUGUGAUUUUCUUGACAAAUAGAACUUCCAACAGAAGAAUAUGGAACUCCUUACAUAUGAAGGGAAAUUUGAAGAUUAUCAAGGAACUUCUGUGUACUGAUUCUGGGGUAGGUGUUUUGGAGAUGAUCUUUUAGACUAUGAUCUUUCUUGAUGACAUGUAAUUAGAUUACUUUCACUAGUUUGGAAUGUCCUUUUAUAAGGGGGACUGCAAGAUGAAUUGAAUAUAUUGUAGCAUGAAAGUAGGAUAGAUAACUUGAAUGACAUUUAGGGUCAUUGAAUAGACUUCUGCCUUCUGACAUUAGUUGUUGAUUGAUUAUUAACCUUUUAUCUCUGAGUGUCAGGUUGACGAAACUUGUGAACUCUGUUCUAUGCAAAGUGAGGGCGUCUGGAAUGAGACAUUUGGUCCUAGUUUAUCUUCAACCCUGAAUGAUUCACAGGCACAGGCUGUCUUAUCCUGUCUUCGUCAAAUGCGUUGUGACCACAAGGCCACAAUCCAACUUAUAUGGGGCCCACCGGGGACGGGAAAAACUAAAACUGUUAGUAUGCUGCUCGUUAUCCUCUUACAAAUGAAAUUCAGAACCCUUGUUUGCACCCCAACAAAUGUUGCAAUUAAGGAACUUGCCGCUCGUGUCGUGAAACUGGUGAAAGAAUCAGUUGAAAGAGAUUGUAGAGAUGCUUUGUUUUUCCCACUGGGAGAUAUUCUGUUAUUGGGAAACAAUGAGCGUCUAAAAGUUGAUUCUGGAGUUGAGGAAAUAUACUUGGACUAUCGUGUUAAGAGGCUUGCAGAUUGCUUUGCACCGCUCACUGGUUGGAGCCAUUGCUUUGCUUCCAUGGUAGAUUUCCUGGACAAUUGUGUUUCUCUUUAUCAUACUUAUAUAGAUAAUGAAUCGAUGAAGCAGAGUGAAGAUAUCAAUGGAGACAUAAUCAAAGAGAAAGAAUGUGGGAAGGAAGCUGAUGUGAGCGACGUGGAGAUUAAACCAUUUCUUGAGUUUGUCAGAGACAGAUUUAAAUGUAUUGCAGCUCCACUUAGGAGUUGCAUUUUUAACUUUUGUACUCAUAUACCCAAAUGUUACAUUGGGGAAGAUAAUUUUCAUGUCAUGGCAACCCUUAUAAGUUUACUUGAUUCUUUUGAAACCUUACUGUUUGAAGACAACUUGGUUUCUGAAGAGCUUGAGGAACUUCUUUCACAUUCAGUAGAUGAAGGUUUAUCUAAGUCAAUUGUGGGUAUAAAGUACUUGUUACACAAGAGGAGAAGUGAAUGUCAUUUUGUUUUAAGAAAACUUCAGAGUUCUUUUAAUGAACUUAACCUUCCAAGUGCUGUGGAAAAAGAUUUACUUGAAGAUUUACUUAAGAGCUUCUGUUUAAAAAGGGCUUCUUUGUUUCUUAGUACUGCUUCAAGUUCAUAUAUGCUGCACUCAGUGGCAAUGGAACCGCUGAACUUUCUAGUUAUUGAUGAAGCGGCACAGUUAAAAGAAAGUGAAUCAACCAUACCUCUACAGCUCGCGGGUAUAAACCAUGCAGUUCUUAUUGGUGAUGAGUGUCAAUUACCAGCAAUGGUUGCCAGCAUUUGGACUAUUUCUCUUUUGCAUUUUACCCUUUGGUUAAUUGAACUUGAGUUGAGCUGGAGUAUGUAGCUUUCAAUACAUUUGAUGUUUGAAUCUUCAAUUUUUUCUUUUUUUCUUUUUCCUCUUUUUACCUUUCUUUCAGGUUUCCAAUGAAGCUUGUUUUGGUAGAAGUUUAUUUGAGAGGUUAAGCUAUUUGGGAUACUCAAAACACCUGCUCAGUAUACAGUACCGAAUGCAUCCAUCCAUUAGCUGCUUCCCAAAUUCAUAUUUCUAUGAAAACAAGAUUCGCGAUUCCUCUACUGUUAGGAAAAGAAGCUAUGAAAAACGAUUUUUGCAUGGGCCAAUGUAUGGUCCAUAUUCCUUCAUCAAUGUAUUUGGUGGAAGAGAAGAGUUCAUUGAGCACAGCUGUAGAAACAUGGUUGAGGUAUCUGUAGUGAUGAAAAUUCUGCUGAACUUGUACAAAGGUAUGUCUCAGUGGAGCCUUGUUUUUGCACACAUCUAAAUGUUUUAGCCUUACUGUAGAGCUUGUGUUUAUUUGACUUUUGAUAUUUCACUUUGACAAAGAAGAUAUACUUCCAUCUUAUCAACAUUUUCUGCUUCUAUGAUCAUACAUGUUUAUCAAUCACUCUUACACUAUUUUCCUUGUAAAGGCUGCAAUACCAUACGAAUUCAUUUUAUUUCCUUUUAAACAUAAUUGAAGUGAAAGAGGAGAGUAAUCAGAUGCAAUGGUGCAAUUAAAAGAUUAAAUUAUGCGAUGGUGAUGUAGAUUAAAUAGUGCGAGCAUUAUGACUGCAUUACUGGGAAGAGAUAUUCUUGUCAUGUCGACAAAAUAUGUAUCUUUUAGCUUUCCUUACUGCAUAAUGUAUUGAAAAAGCCUGUCAGUUGAAAUAUUUCUUUCUGUUCAAUAACACAUCAAUUUUUUGAUAUCCUUGUAAUCUUUAACAUGAAGCUUGGAUUGACUCAAAAGAGAAGCUCAGUAUUGGUAUAGUGUCGCCUUACAGUGCACAAGUUGUUGCAAUUCAAGAAAAACUUGGAAGUAAAUAUGUGAACAGUGCAGGCUUUGCUGUGAAAGUGAUGUCCAUUGAUGGUUUCCAGGGAGGAGAAGAGGACUUAAUUAUAAUUUCAACUGUAAGGUCCAACAAUGGUGGAUCAAUUGGUUUCCUAUCCAAUUCUAAGAGAGUUAAUGUUGCUCUUACAAGGGCUAGGUAAGAUGCAAUAUCUUAGAAUAUUACUCCUCACUAGGAAAUUAUUUUGAACUUCUAUGGUGAACAUCUGUCCAUUUAAAUCCUUAUAGGCACUGUCUUUGGAUUUUGGGGAAUGCAAGAACUUUAACUCGUAAGAAAUCUGUUUGGGAAGCCUUAGUCCAUGAUGCUAAUGCUCGUCAGUGCUUCUUUAAUGCUGAUGAUGAUAAGGAUUUGGGCAAAGCAAUAUUAGCGGUGAAGAAAGAGCUUGAUGAAUUAGAUGAACUACUCAAUCCGGAAAGUAGACUUUUCAGAAGUCAAAGGUGGAAGGUACUUAAUUUUAGCCCGCGUUGCUUUCUUACCCAAUAAGCGUUUCUGUUGUGUUUUGUUACUAAUUAUUUUCUCCUUUCCUUAGGUUAAUUUUAGUGAAAACUUUUUAAAAUCAUUUCGAAAGCUGACAUCAGACCCAACCAAAAAGUCAGUUAUACACCUUCUACUAAAACUUUCUAAUGGCUGGCGACCUAAGAAGAGGAAUGUGGACUCAGUCUGCGGAAGCUCUUUACACAUCAUUAAACAAUUCAAGGUUGAAGGAUUCUAUAUUAUUUGCACAAUUGACAUUGUCAAGGAAUCACAGUACUUCCAAGUUUUGAAAGUCUGGGAUAUAUUGCCUUUGGAGGAUGUCCCGAAAGUGGUGGCACGUCUGGAUAAUAUAUAUGUAAAGUACACUGAUGAAUUCAUUAAUCACUGCAAAGAGAAAUCUAUUGAGGGGUAUGUCUAUUCUUUUUAGUUUUGUGGGAUAUGAGGCAAUGUUGUAAUCUCUAUAUGUUAGCUGCAUUGCUUGGACUGAAAGGAAUAGGAUUGUUUAUUCGUGUUUGGUUAAAAAUUUGUUUAAUUUAUUUUGGCUUGUUUCUUUGCAUCCAGGAAUUUGGAGGUUCCAAAGACUUGGACAGCCACUUCAAAUGUUGUCCGGUUCAAGAAUCUUGCUGACAAUGACAAUAAUAGUGGGAGUGACUUAAGUGGUGCUGCAUUUGAUAGUAGAAAUUAUGCUGAGAAUUCAAAUGUGAGUGAAAGUCUGUCGUUGAUGAAGUUCUACCGCUUAUCAUCAGAUGUAGUGAGCCACCUGCUGUCUGAUCGUGUUGGCAGAGAAUUGGAUCUUCCAUUUGAAGUGACAGAUGAACAAUUGGAGAUGAUUCUUUCUCCUAGAAGCACCUUUAUACUUGGUCGGUCGGGUACUGGAAAAACUACUGUUCUGACAAGGAAGUUAUUUCAGAAAGAAGAACUUCACCGUAUGGCAAUGGAAGGAUUCUAUGGAGUAAACAAUAGUGUAACUCUGCAUUGUAGCCGGGAAUCUGAAGCUGAGGAGGGUCUUGGGGAGACUGAAAGGCCCAUCUUGCGCCAACUUUUUGUGACAGUUAGUCCUAAAUUAUGUUUUGCUAUAAAGCAACAUAUAUCUCAAAUGAAAAGGUGCGUGGGUUUGUCUAAUGAAAUUUCGUUUAUUUUUUUUUUAUUUUUUAUUUUUAAAAAAUCUCUCUUCACCUUAAAUCUAGAAAUGUUGAAUUUACUUGAGUAGAAUAAGUUAAGUUCUAUAUGAUUGAUUCUUCAUCGCUACAUUUCUGUCCUGGAAAGUAGAAAAUUAAAAACCAAAUAAUAUUCUUCUAGUGCACCUAUAAAUAUCAAAUGGUCGAAUGCAUAUAUAUGUGGCCAAGUUUAAUUUAAAAUUUUAUUGUUAAACAUUUUAUUUUAAGUAAAAAAUUUUAUUGAUUCCAUAACAGCUCUUUAGUGCUCCCUGUUUUGGGAAAAUUUGUAGGUGCAUUUUCUCUUUUAAAUUACCAUGAACAGAAAUGAUAGAUGGGGGUUAGAUAAAAGAAUUCAAUUCCCAUCCUAUUUUGUUAGGGUUUAAAUAAAAAUUGAAUAAAAACGAAAAUGUUAACAGGUAUACAAAGUUUUAGGUUUCUUAGCUCGUUACAUAUUUCAAUGCAUCAUCGUGUUAGAAUUGCUUUUUGUCCCAGUGAGCAUGGAAAUGGAGUUUUACUUUAAAAUAUUGAUGAUUCUUUAAAAUUCUGAUCUGAACUGUAGUUUUUGGUUUCAAAUUCUUGUUUAAGCGUAUCUCAACAUUUUAUUCACAACGAGCCCUGCUUUUUGUUAUUUAAAGACAUUUUUACUCGUUAAUUUUGAUUUAUGCAUCUGCAAAAUCUUAUUACAAGUGUGAUAUACAAUAGAAUCAUGUUGAAGCAGCCUACUUUUAGUUUGUUGCUUCUUUCGUAUUGUCUGAACAACAUUUUAUGUUACCAGUUGUAUCCACUAAAUUGCUUUACAAUUUUAAUGUUUUACUUGACAUUUAAAGCAUGCAAGAUGUUUCAUUUCUAAUGAUUGGCCUUGUUAAAUCUGCAGCUCUGCCUUUGGAGGGAAGUUUGUUGCAGAAAGCAGUUUAAUUGAUAUUGAUGACGAAGCAGAAUUCAAAGAUAUCCCAAAUUCUUUUGCACAUAUACCAGCUGAGUCUUACCCACUUGUCAUAACAUUUCACAAGUUCUUGAUGAUGUUGGAUGGAACUUUGGGUAGUUCAUACUUUGACAGAUUCCAUGACAUAAGGAAACACUAUGGUCAAGUUCGAAAUUCAAGCUUACUUUUCUUACAGACCUUUAUUAGGACGAAGGAAGUUAAUUUUGAAAGGUUUUGUUCAUCAUACUGGCCUCGUUUUAAUACACAACUAACAAAGAAGCUUGAUCCUUCUAGAGUUUUCACUGAGAUUAUAUCUCAUAUAAGAGGUGGCCUCCAAUCCAUUGACGUUGCUGAUGGUAAACUCUGUCGAGAGGAUUAUAUUAGAUUAUCAGAGACCAGGGUUUCCACUCUCCUCAGGUCGGAGAGAGAGAAAAUUUAUGAAAUUUAUGAAAACUAUGAACAAAUGAAGAUGAGAAAUGGUGAAUUUGAUUUGGCUGAUCUUGUUAAUGAUCUUCAUCGUCGAUUUAAAGAGGAAAGGUAUAAGGGUGAUGAAUUUCAUUUCGUUUACAUUGAUGAAGUUCAGGAUCUUACCAUGAGUCAAAUUGCUCUAUUCAAGUACGUCUGCAGGAACAUUGAAGAGGGUUUUGUUUUCUCUGGGGAUACGGCACAAACAAUUGCUAGGGGAAUUGACUUCAGGUUUCAAGACAUACGAUCUCUCUUCUACAAGAAGUUUGUUCUGGAAUCAAGAAAUACUAGAAAUGUUGGAAGACAAGAAAAAGGACAACUUUCCAAAAUUUUUAAUCUGAGUCAGAACUUCCGCACACAUGCAGGUGUUCUCAACUUAGCUCAAAGCGUCAUUGAACUUCUUUACCGGUUCUUCCCGCACUCUGUUGAUAUCUUAAAACCAGAGACUAGUCUUAUAUAUGGGGAGCCACCUGUUUUGCUUGAAUCUAGGGAUGAUGAAAAUGCUGUCAUAAAAAUAUUUGGAAACAGUGGAGAUGCUGGUGGGAAUAUGGUCGGUUUUGGAGCAGAGCAAGUUAUAUUGGUCCGUGAUGACUGUGUUCGAAAGGAAAUUUCCAAUUAUGUCAGGAAGCAAGCUCUUGUUUUGACAAUAUUAGAGAGCAAGGGCCUUGAAUUUCAGGUGAUACAUUGCAUAAAAGUUUCAUAUCAUUAGUGGUUUAGUAGAUUAUAAUCAUGCUAUCUUCUUUUGAGUGCUCUUAAUCCAUGCUGAUCGUUAACAGUUUUGAAAAUGCACUAUUUCCUUUCUGUUUCCUGUUACCUGAUGUCAGAUUCUUCUCUAUGAACCAUGUAGGAUAAGCAUAUCCAGCAACCAAAAAAUUGUAACUUUUGGUGACUAUUUUGGAACUGUGUUGUCAGUGUUCAGUUUCUCCUUAUGCCCAAGCUCAUAAUAUGCUUAGNNNNNNNNNNNNNNNNNNNNNNNNNNNNNNNNNNNNNNNNNNNNNNNNNNNNNNNNNNNNNNNNNNNNNNNNNNNNNNNNNNNNNNNNNNNNNNNNNNNNNNNNNNNNNNNNNNNNNNNNNNNNNNNNNNNNNNNNNNNNNNNNNNNNNNNNNNNNNNNNNNNNNNNNNNNNNNNNNNNNNNNNNNNNNNNNNNNNNNNNNNNNNNNNNNNNNNNNNNNNNNNNNNNNNNNNNNNNNNNNNNNNNNNNNNNNNNNNNNNNNNNNNNNNNNNNNNNNNNNNNNNNNNNNNNNNNNNNNNNNNNNNNNNNNNNNNNNNNNNNNNNNNNNNNNNNNNNNNNNNNNNNNNNNNNNNNNNNNNNNNNNNNNNNNNNNNNNNNNNNNNNNNNNNNNNNNNNNNNNNNNNNNNNNNNNNNAAAGCAUGUUUGAAAUAAUAACAUACUGCAAAGCAAUUGCAAUCAAGUUUAUAUUUUCCUCUUUGAAAUGAUUUAUGUUCCUAAGUUUUAUCCUUUUAGUGAAACCCAAAUACUUUUGCUCUACUUUUUUUUUAAAAAAAUUUAUUUAAGUAUUGCAUUAAUGGAAUGGAAACGAAACCCCAUCCUCGCCCACACUAUUAAUUUGAAACAAGUACAUAAUUAUAGAAAUAAAACCAUAAAGAGAACCAAUUCUAAGAGAGUAAAAUACAACACUAGGAGUUAUUUUACUGUCCAAUAUGCUAAUACGAGAAACUGAUAGAGUACACCAACUAAAGUUGCAACAGGAUGGUUUUACCUUUUACUUAUUUUUAUUGUCAAAAAUAUUUCAAUUCAUACAGCCAAGUUCCCAUGUGUUUUCUUAAGUAGUUAUUAUGAAACCUAAAUUUUUCCAUGAUCUCUUUCUAUAGGAUGUGCUAUUGUAUGACUUUUUUGGCUCUUCACCUAUUAAAAAUCUAUGGAGGGUGGUCUAUGAAUAUAUGAAGGAACAAGCUUUGUUUGACUCCACAUUACCUGGGUCCUUCCCAAGCUUCAAUGAAGCUAAACACAACCUCUUGUGCUCUGAACUGAAGCAACUAUAUGUAGCCAUCACUCGUACAAGGCAAAGGUUGUGGAUAUGGGAAAAUAUGGAGGAGUUCUCCAAACCUAUGUUUGACUAUUGGAAGAAAAGGUUGCUUGUUCAAGUAAGGCAAUUGGAUGAUUCACUUGCACAGGAAAUGCAAGUAGCAAGCAGCCUGGAGGAGUGGAAGUUGCGGGGCAUUAAGGUUUGUGUAAUCUUGAAAACUUUUAUCAUUUUUGUGUGCAUGUGUGUAUGUGAAGACAUUUCUUGGUCAAACUUUAAAUAUAUUCUGCUCUUGCAUACCACAUAUAUUAAUUUUGUUGUUGUUGAUACCGAAAUCCGGAUAAGUUGGUCAGAUCUCAGAUCCCUGCAUCAUCAUUAAAUUUGUUUGGUGGGAAGCUGAUGAUUAGUUAGCACCAUGAGCAGAUUUUCUAUGAGCAGACAAUCCAUGAGCAGACAAUCUAUGAGCAGACAAUCUAUGAGCAGAUAACCCGUGAGCAGACGAUCCAUGAGCAGAUAACCCAUGAGCAGACGAUCCAUGAGCAGACAACCCAUGAGCAGACGAUCCAUGAGCAGUCAACCCAUGAGCAGACGAUCCAUGAGCAGAUAACCUGUGAGCCUGUGAACACAACCAACAGUCAGGAGGUGCCGGAAGUUUUUCCGACGAGAACCCUCCGACGCUCAAGUCAGCGAUUCGGGUCUUACUUGGAAAAACUCAUAUCACAAUUCAUGUGGCUUAAUUAUGAUUGCUUUAAACAAAAAACUUUUAAGUAAAUUUAAAGGAAAAUAAUUCAAAAUAAUCAAUCUUAAAGAAAUCACAGGCGAAAGAGAAAUUUCUCUGUGGUAGAGAGAGAAAAAGGUCCCAUGGGUUCAGUUGCUUAAAGAGAGAGAGAGAGAAAGAGAGAGCCCCCGAAGAAUCCCCUUCCUAGGGUUUUUAUAGGAAACUAUAGCGGUUUUUAUCCUCUCCCCUAGAAUUCUCAAGAAAACUACUAAUUUUCAGCCCACUAAGAAUAUGGUCCCUAAUAUUUCGGAGAAAAUGUUUUGACUGAAUCGUGCUUUCUGGUAACUUCCUGGUCGAGGUGACCAAUAACAUCCUGGUCGAGGUGAUGUGCUCGAGGUCACUACAUAUUAUUCUGGUCGAGGUGACCAAUAAUAUCCUGGUCGAGGUGAUCUGCUCGAGGCGACCAAUAACAUCCUGGUCAAGGCGACCAAUAACAUCCUGGUCGAGGUGAUGUGCUCGAGGUCACCACAUAUUAUUCUGGUCGAGAUGAUCUGCUCAACCAUUUGCUCACUUUUACUUUGAGGAGAGUACGAUAAUGUAUGAGCAAACACCUUUAUCUUGGUCACCCCAUUUCAUUCCCUAAACAGUUGUUAUUGUCAUCUCCCUAUUUCUGGCACCCUAAGGUGAGUUGGCAUUCAUAUUCACACUGCAUGCAUCCAUCGCAUAGAGCAAAAUAUGGUGAUUGAUUACCAUCACCAUUACUUUAUAACUACUAUUUAUUAUCAUUUUCUAUGUAGUGCCUCUCUCAUUGUCGCUCCCUUUCCUCGAGCAGAUGCUUUUGGUGAAUCUUUUACUGGAAAACUGCAUGAUUUUUGCUGCAUAUAUCAAAAUAUGGUCAUGAACAAUUAGGUCCAUGUGUUUUUGUUUAUAAUUUAUGCUACAGCUAUUGGUUCUAAGUAAUCUGCGCUAAAAGUUAGGAUGACAUUUGACAUUGCUAAUAGUGCUGCUGUUUCUGUUACCUUCUAUUUAUUGAAGCUAAAUGGAUGUUGAUGUUAACAUCCAUUUCAAUUAGGUCCCUGCAUUUUCUACUAGGAGUGAAAUGGAUGUUUGUUCGUUGUCAAAUCAAAUAUUGUUUCUCCCUUCUGCUGAUUUUGUGCUGUUUUUAGCUGUUUUAUGAGCAAAAUUAUGAAAUGGCAACAAUAUGCUUCGAAAAAGCUAAAGACACUUACUGGGAAGGAAGGUCUAAAGCAAGCGGCCUCAAGGCAGCGGCUGAUCGUAUUAGCCAUUCAAAUCUUCUAGAGGCUAACGUUUUUCUUAGGGAAGCUGCUAAAAUUUUUGAAGCCAUAGGCAAGGCUGAUUCUGCUGCCAAAUGCUUUUGUGAUUUGGGAGAGUAUGAGAGAGCAGGUGUGAAUCUGAUCUCUAGUUGAAGGAACAUAAUGCUGCGUUAUGGCUUAAGUUUUAUUCUUGUUAUCUUCUCUCCGAAACUUAAAAAUUAGAUCAUCAUUUUCACUGUCUGAUGGUUGAAUUUGAUAUUUAGUUGAACGAAUAUAAUUCUACCAUCCUAUGAUGUUCGGAAUAUGGUACUUUCAGGAUAGUUGUAAAUUAUGCAUAAUGUUUGCAUUUCUUUGGAAUACUUCUCACUUAGAAAUAACUUAAAAGGUGCGGUUAAUUGCACUUUCCAGAACUACAGGUAAUAUGUGUAUAAGGUGAUAAUGGCUUACAAUGAUGUAAUUGUUAAUAUUCAUAGUAGUCAAAUAUUCCAGAACUGCAGAAUACUAUACUUUAUCACGAAGUGUUGAUAGGAUUUGUUGUUGGUGGGUUUGAGGAUAAAUUUUUCUUUUCUCAGUGUCAACAAGAACUUUUCUGUGUAAUGUGUAUAGCUUAUUUUGUAGUUAGCAUAUCCCUCAUUUCUUCUCUGUUUGAUAUGCCUGUAGAAGUGAUUAAAGUUGUUUGCAUAAUGUCAGCAUGCAACGUGCUUAAGACGACUUCAAUCUUACAGAAUUUUCAGCAUUAAAUGAGCUAAACUGGGUUUAGUUUGGUUUAUGAUGACACGCAAAAAUGAAACUUGACAUCUACUUUUAAAUUUACCUCGGUGUGUUUGUUUGCAUUAGUCUUUUUUCUGUGGUUUUCCCUAGAAAUUCUUGCCUUAGUUUAUAGUAGUUGAGAAAAAAGAGGAAAAAAAUCCUUGCUUAUAAUUUUGUAGGAGUUUUCGGGCAAUAAAUUUGAUAAUCAGAUUAACUUCUUAUUCCUGUAGGUACGAUUUAUUUAGAAAGAUGUGAAGAACCUGAGCUGGAAAAAGCAGGGGAAUGUUUUUUUCUGGCAGGAUGCUAUAAGCUUGCAGCAGAUGUAUAUGCGAGGGGCAGUUUUCUUGCAGAAUGUUUGGAUGCUUGCUCCAAAGGAAAACUUUUUGACAUUGGUUUACAAUACAUCAGCUACUGAAAACAGCACGCUGAUGCAGAUGUUGGCCGAGUUAAAAGCAGCAAAAGAAUAAAAAAAAUCGAACAAGACUUUCUACAGAGUUGUGCUCUUCAUUUUCAUAAGCUCAAUGAUAACAAAUCCAUGAUGAAAUUUGUCAGAGCUUUUCAUUCCAUGGAUUUGAUACGCAACUUUUUGAACUCUAAUGGUUGCUUUGAUGAGCUUCUAGUGUUGGAAGAAGAAUUCGGAAAAUUUAUGGAUGCUGCAAAUAUUGCAAGACUGAGAGGAGAUAUUCUUCGUACAGCGGAUUUGUUACAGAAGGCGGGAAAUCAUAAGGAAGCAUGUAAUCUUACUCUCAACUAUGUACUUUCCAACUCUCUUUGGUCAGCUGGGAGCAAAGGCUGGCCCUUAAAGCAGUUUACACAGAAGAAAGAGCUUCUUGAAAAAGCCAAGUUACUGGCUAAAAGUGAGUCGAACAAAUUCUAUAAGUUUGUUUGUACCGAGGCAUACAUUUUGUCAAAUGAUCAGAGUGACUUAUUGAUCAUGAAUCAACAGUUAAAUGCUUCGAAGAGACAUCAGAGUGUUAAUGGUGAAACCUUAUCUGCUAGAAAGAUACUGGAUUUCCAUCUUCAUACAAAUUCCUCUGAAUAUGUGUGGGAAGAUGAAUUGGUGUUAGAUGAGACAAAUUGUAAUAAAAGGGUUUCUGUUCAGACUCUCAUCUACUUUUGGAACUGCUGGAAGGAUAAGAUCGUGAAUGUGCUCAAAUAUCUUGAAUGUCUCAAAAGCCAGGACUUUAAUGACUAUAGAAGUUAUGGAGAUUUCUGCUUGAAUUACCUUAGUGUGUGGAGGCAAUACAAUAAUGGGAAUAUCAUCUAUCUUUUGUUGAACAGUGAUGCUGAGUGGGUGAAGGAUUUGGACAAUAGACAUGCUUUAAGAAGUGGGAAGUUGGCCUCUAUCAAUGUCCAUC